UGUAAAUUAUAAACCUGCCCUGAACAAUGG
rnacentral:piRNA from 1 species